UCUCCGUUGGUGAACCAGCGGAGGGAUCAUUCCAGAGUUUUUAACUCCCAAACCCAUUUGAACCUACUAUUUUGUUGCCUCGGCGGGUUCUGCCUCCCAUCUCGGGAGCAGGCUCAAGCCCGCCGGCGGCACACAACUCUUGUCUCUUGCGUUGGCAUCUCCGAGCAAACAAAAACGAGUCAAAACUUUUAACAACGGAUCGCUUGGUUCUGGCAUCGAUGAAGAACGCAGC
rnacentral:misc_RNA from 1 species